GUGGGCUCUAGGCAAGCACAAGAUGCAGGUUUUCCUCUUCCCCCCUUCGGUGCCCAAGGGCCUGNCUGGGUGCUGUUGGGGCACAAAGGCAGUUCUGAGAGGGGACUCAGGAAGGGCCAAGCUGCACCCUGUGGGCGNCUGCUCUGGCACCCACUGUGGCAGCGGUAGCAGCAGGUAGGCGGACACUGUNCCUGGCGGAGCAGAAAGCUGCCCCCUUGCUCCAUGGCCCCAGGGAAGGCGGCGGGUGCUCAAAAGCCUCCGACAGGCCCUGCUGUUAUGUGAGGAUCAAGGAGCCAGAGGACAGAAAGAUCCCUGCAAAGGAGCCGUUUUCAGGUGACUGGACACAGGGUUCGGGGGACCCGGCUUGUGCAGGCGCCAUCUGCAUUGCCCNCAGAGCUCCCUGAUGGAAUCCUGGAUCAAUCUGCCUGCAGCAUCUGGGGGCCCAGGAAGCAAAGGGAGACCCUUGGGUGGCCACUGCCCGGUUGCUGAACUUGGUGUGUUUGGGGGCUAUUGUGCUCUCGGCCUCCGCCUGCCUGCUCCGAAGGCCUAUUCUUGCCUUCUCUGCGGGGGCUACAGCCCACCCCCCACGGCCCUGUGCCCAUCACUCCCCCUGCCUCCGAGGAGCUCACCGUUCCCGAGUCAGAUGGAAAAACCCAGGCGGCAGAUUCAGCCCAGAGUGGCCACAGCCAGAGCCCCCCCGCCCAGUCCCUCCCUGGGACAUUUGCUAAUGUUUAACGUCCGUCCGGCAUGGGCAACACCCUGCUGCUUCCCCUCCAGGCUCCCACAAGGGCGAGUGGAGGAGCGAGGCUUCUGCCGACCGCCGUGAGCACGGCCCAGGCAUGCGCUGCUGGCUGCUGUGGGGGCUGCCUGCCUCCUGGGCCCUGGUGGCCUUGGCCGGGACAGCAGAGCCUGGAGAUGCUUCCCCGGAGGCCGAGGACACCCUCAGCAAAGGAGACUUUGGCGUUCUCCGGCUAUCCAGGACAGCCCACCGACAGAAAAACAAAUCGCUGGUUUUCCACACUGGCAGCCUUUCGGCUCUGAGCAGAGGCCUGAUGAGGAACCCGAGCGCCUGGGAAGGGGAGAGAGGAGAAAUCGCCCGUCCCCAGAGAGGCGCCGGCNCCACCAGGGACCCCUGCCGGGGAUGCUGCGGGACGCUCGGGGCUCCCAACCGCACCGGAAGCAUCCAGGGUGGUUCCCUGUCUGGGCUAAACGGGAGCAGCCGCCAGAAACCCGGCGCCGCACGGGACCGUUGCCGAGGCUGCUGCAGGAGAAAUGGGACCACGCUUGCCAACGCGCCGGGACAAAAGGAGGGCGGCGGCGGAGGUAGCGAAGGGCGGGCGCCCCGGGCUUGGAGUGCGCGCAGGGAAACUGCUGGCCUCUCUGAGCCCCGGCUGAGGGCGGGGGCCACGGGGACCCCCCUUCCCCCCUGAGCUGACAUGCGCAUUUUCCCCCUUCACCAUAAUGGGCAAACGCAGGGCGACGCGACCCAGGGGUCUGGCCUGCCUGUCUGCUGCUUUUCUGCCCUAAAAGGGGCCACGGUGCCCAGGCUGGCCUCGAUUCCCUUAGGCGUUCCUUCGCGGCACCCCUGGCAGCAGCACCAGCCCUGCGCUUUCGUGGCCUGAGGCAGCGAGUCGCCCAGGGAACUNGCUGCUCGCGGUUCGGCGGCAAGUGGUGCUGGGGCGAAGGGCUCCUUCCGCCUGGGCACCCGCCACGGGCUGCCAGUCCUCCACACCCACCGUNCCCCGCUUGCCAGACACCGUUUCUGCACACGCCGCCCUCCCUGCCGUUCACGGCCAGCCCUGCGUGGGUCUCUUUGCGCUUCGUUCUGUGGCGCCAAAUUUCUGUUCUGGGCACGGGCCUUGAGGGGCAUCCGCCAGCCAGCAGCCUUCCAGAGAUGGCGCAGCCAUUGCGCACGGCCGGGCACGCUCUCCAAACGCCUGGCAUCNGGGGGAGUGACGGCUUGGCGCUGAAGGGGCAGGCGGCAUCGCUAUGUCUUUUGGCCCAGGGCAGUUCCAGCCAGCGGCUGAGGAGGAGACCCACCCUGGACCACAGGGUCCCAAGCNUCAGGCCUCCCUGGAGGGGAGACGGUGGACCUGCCCCCUUCGCCAGAAGGGCCGUCUAGCCCCGGCGCCCCCGCAGAGGCGGGCAGGCAGCGGGAGCAAGGGAGUAUGUACGGCGGAGAAGAAAGACGGCCCCCGGGCACCUGGAUGCUGAGCGGAAAGCGCCAAGGGCGAANCCCGAGCACUAGGAUGCUGGUGGCCCGUCGACGCCCCUUGCCAACAGCGCUGGAUUUCUUUUCUGCGGAAGGGGCAGAGGCAGAACUCGGAGCAGAGCUAGCAGCGUCCCAGGAAGGUGGAUGGGGGAGCCUGGCGGGCAGGGAGAAGAGCUCGGCCCAACGCUUCCAUCGCUCCCCCGGGGGCGGGGGGGGACAGUCUGGGUGGAGUCCGAGGGGAACAGCCCAUCGCAGUCUCACCCCCCCGCCCCCGCACAAGAAGGCCAGAAAUAUACGCAGUCGCUUAGGAACGCCNCAAAGCAAUAAAAAACGUCUAGCAGCAU
rnacentral:lncRNA from 1 species